UAGAUACUUUUAUCGUUGAAGGAUGUACUCACAGAACAAAAUGAGUGGAUUGUGAUGUUCUACACUUCUGUCCAUAGCAGUGGGAUAUGUUUUCUGCACUGCGCGGCUACCCUCUAAUGUCGCGAUGGCUGACGAAGAGAUCUAGGUUCAUGGCUUGCUAGGUUCAGCUGGUUCCACUAACAGCCAUCUCCGAGCACUUGCAUAGAUCCGUGUGUCACAACAUGCAAGCAAAUCAAAUGAAUUAGUGUGGACAAAGUUAUAUAUCGAGCAAAUCAGAUGAAGGCGUGUGGACAAAGUUAUAUAUCCAAUAGUCAAUCAUGUAGUUUACUAUUGUGCAGUAUGAAAAACAGUGUACAUAAGUUAUCUGGGACUAAUACUAUGGCCUGCUUUUGGUUUCUAUCAUACCAAACCUUGCUUAGGUAUUUCAUGUCACAUUGCAUGACAAAUGCGCCGAUGCAUGUAGAUAUGGCCAUUUUUGUAGAUAUUUUACGGGGUGAUUACUGUAGUGAGUAUCUGUCAUCGCCUACUCUUUGAGUAAUAUCAGAUAUAUUUCCAUCCUGGGGUAUAUUGAGUAAUACCACAUGUUAAUAGAAAAAGAGCUAUAUCAAGGUUUUGAUCA